GUGCUAUCCAUAUGAUUCUGUAUUUUUUAGUAUUGUUAUGAUUUUAUUUUUCACAAUUAAGUAUUUAAUUCUCCUGUAAUCUAUUGCAGUCUAAGUACUGAAGUAGAUAUUAAAGUUUGCCCCUUCUCUCCUUAGAUAGUUGAUUCUCUCAAUACCAUACAAUCUCCACAGGUCUGAUAGAUCAUCUCUAUUGUCUUCCAAAUCCUCAUGUAUCCUUAUGUUUGUCUGAGGGCUGUUUUUGCCUAUGUAUGUUUUUCUGCCUAUAUAUUUGCAUAUCUACAUUACAUAGUUUUAAGACUAUACUUUCAGGGAUCAUUUCUAUAGUUCGUUACAUUAGUUUUAAACAGUACAGUUUACUUUUAUGUAAGACAGGAGAGAAAAUAAACCUGUAUUUGUUGUUCUCAUGCAAAAAAAAAGAUUAAAAAAUUAAUGAAAGUGGGGGGGAAGGCCUGUGAGUGAUAUGGUCAUGUAUACCUUUUGCUAUUUUGAAUUAUAAAUUGUGUGUAUGUAGUAAAUCCUAAAAAAUGAAAUUAAAAAUUACUGAUCUUUAUUAAGUAGUUUAGAAAUUAAUAGUGCCAAACCCUCUUAUUAUUCUUUUUAAGAAUUUUCUGGGCUAAACUCUGCUAUUUUUAAAUUAUCAAAAUACUGUAGUUUCAAACACACUGUUAUUUCAAUGGCAGUCAGUAGCUUUAUUUGCUCUCCCAAAAUUCUCCCCCCACUUGUCUGUCUUCCCUAACCCCAUGCCUGACUACCCUCACUUCAAAAGCACUCCAGGCCCUUACUUUACUAGUUAGUACCUGCAACUCUAAUAUGCAAUAAAAUUCCUUUUUAUCUCCUAACAAAUCUUAAAAUCUGCUCAGUUACCCAUAUAACAAUUACACAAAGACUUGUCCUGAAAAUUAGAAGUGACUUGCAAUCCAAGUCUUGAGACAAUCCCACCUAUGGUCACAACUUUCUGGCCCUUGGACCAUCUAACCUCAAGGCUUAAAUGACUAAGGACAUAACCAAUUUAAAUUUACCUUUCCCUCUCCUUGUUGCCAAAUUUAAUUUCCUGAAGAAAUUACACAAAUUAGAACUCCUUAGCAACUCUCUGCUCCUCAUUACAGUCAUUAAUGUGGGCUUUAUUUUAAGCUCUUUCCUAGGUGCCUCUCCCUGGAAAUAAUCAUUUCAGCUGAAAGUGGGAGUUAACUUUAAGCACUGGAACAUACUCUCUUCAUUCAGCCGCAUGUGUAUAAAACCAGCUAAUGAUAACAGGUGGAAGGAACAACCUUUCAAAUGUGAAGACACUCUAAUCACUUACCAAUAGGAUGGUUUUUCUGAAGAGGAAUUAUCCCUGACAGCUGUUACCACUUCCUUCUUCUCCGAUAAUGAAACCUAAGUUGAAAGUAACAAAAAGAAGAAGUAGGAAUGACCAAACCUUUUCUCUGAAGAUACGGGCGUGUAGACUUCAAAACCGAAAGGAAUAUUGACAGAAGUUCUACUAAGUCUCCAGUCACAUGGCAAGCUGUGGCUUCAUGGUACAUCAUGUGCAGUGUGUUGAAAGACUACAAGUGAUUUUAAAAAAUGGAAAACUUCAUUUCAUUUUUACUUUACUGACCACAAAAUGGUAGUACUCAUCCUUUAUGAUAGAUGUUUUCAGACCCUAUGUGUGUGCACAUGUGCACAAAUCAAAUGUAUUUGCUUUCUACCUAAGUCAAAUUCUCCCAAGUCAGCUCUUUAAAAUACAAAACAGUGCUCACCUUCGGAGCUAAUAUUUUAUGCAUACAUUUUGGUCUGAAGGAAUAAUUUGUUUCAUCAGUUUGUUUGUUUUUGGUUACUGUUUGCUCUAAGACCACAAACACCUUAGAAAUUACGAAGAAGCAGGCAACAAGAAGAUUUGGUAGAACAGGUGACUGCUUUAACUAACUUUCCAGGGCUUUGGGAAGGAAGACAAUGGUGAAAUGGUUGUCAACAGUAAGUCUGAAAUGAGGAAAAAGAGCUCCAAAAGGAAGAAUUCCUUUAAUCAUAUUGGCUUGUUAAAAUCUUUUAAUUCAAAAUCCUUAGUUUUUUUUCCUACUUCAUUCCACACAAAGGCUUUUUUCUAAUCCUCUUGAAUCAGUUCCCUAAAAUCUAUAUACUAGCCGUAAUUCAAAGUUCAAAAUCCACAGUCUAGAAUCGGUGGCAGUACAUAAUCUGAACAAUGUACUUGUGUGGCAUUUAACCUGUAAGCUGUGAGGCUAGGAACCAUGUCUGUCUUAUUCACUGCUGUAUCCCCAGUGCUAGCUAGCUAGUAGACAUUCAAACAUCUGUUGAGCGAAACAAUGAAUUUCUCACUACUUUUCACAUACUUUUUGUUCUAGCCAAACAGAAAUACUUGGCAUUUUUCAAAUACGACAAUACUUUCUUGCCUCUGCUGACCAAGUCAUUUAUCUAAAUGCUCUCUUGCUUAUCUUUACAAGUUCAAAUUCUUCAAAGUACGGUUUCAAACAUGUUGUAUUCCUAUACUAUAAUAUCAUUAACUGAAGAAAACUAUCCUACCUCUUACUUCUGAUGGUUCUUUUGGCAUAUACUCUUUUGUCUUCUCUCCUUUAUUAGACUAAGAGGUAAAAUGCACCUCUAUGGCUUUAAAAUCAUCUCACAGUUUGUGGAUGUUCACCUGUAACAGACUCAAUGGCUUCCUCUCAUGAUGCUAAUCUCACUUUCUUAACUAUCAAAUAAGUCCGCUCUUGAGAAAUUAUGUCAGUGAUUACAUCAUAUGAAUUUCAUCUGUUUCUACCCUUACACAUGGAAUGAAUAAAACCAGUCUAUUUCCAGUGGUUGUUCUAAAUACAAAAGAAGAAGAGAAGUAUGGAAUUACUAUGGACAAAGAAAACAGCAACCUAAAAACUGUGACCUAAUCAUUCUUGGAAUAUAGAUUAGCAUUUACUGAUCUAUAUAAUGAAAAUCCAGACACCUGUAAAACAGUAUAGCAUAAACUCUAAAUAUCUACACACACACAAAAAGCCUUGGUGAGAACAUUAAUAUGAGCUAUAUCUAUAGUAAAAUGAAAUAAAUAUUUACCUCAGUCAUCAGGAUCAAACCUCGAUUAAAUACAACAAGAAGUCUAUCUUCAUCAGAUUCUAACAGUAUUCUGAAGGCACUAGAAGAAUACAAAAAAUCCAGGUUGAGAACUCUGAAUCAGAAUGGAAAACUUAGGUGAAAAAAAAUAGAAGAAAACUGUAAUUGAGGCUCUUUUCCACCUAUAGGAGAGGGACUGCUAUUAUCUGUUUCCUACUAAUGUAAUAAAAGGAGUUAGUAUUAAGAAAUCCUCUAAGUAACAUGGAGAAAAGUUAUGUCUGCUAGUAUCUAGUCAACAAUUCAAUAGUGGAAGAGAGGUAUCAUAGGAAUAUUUUUAAAGUUUCUGUAUAAACAAUGCUUAUUUUCAUAAUGGGUUUAUCUUCUAGAUUAUGUUAAGCUCUGGAUAAUAAUAAAAUACACUUAUACUAUCCAAGCACUUGUCAGCUGGUUCUUGGGAAGAAAGAGAAACAUGAGGGGGAAACACAUUAAAUACAUUGUGGUCUUGAAAAUAAUUUAUGUGAUAAUUA